GGAUGUGAGGGCCAUCUGGCUGUGACAUCUGUCACCCCAUUGAUCGCCAGGGUUGAUUCGGCUGAUCUGGUGGCCAGGCGGGUGUCCCCUUCCUCCCUCACCGCUCCAUGUGUGUCCCUCCCAAAGCUGCGCGCUCAGUCGAAGAGGACGACCUUCCCCGCUAGAGGAGGACCAGUCUUCAGUCAAGGGUACAUGAGUAGCUACGCUCCCCUGCUAGAACCUCCAAACUAGCUCUCGAGAGUGCACUGGAGUGUCUAGCCAGUGGCAUAAGUUAAGUAAAAGAAAUAAAAGGGCCAGGUUGGAAAAAGUUGUCUUAAUUU
rnacentral:snRNA from 1 species